rnacentral:lncRNA from 10 species
UUGCUGGAAAUGGAUGAGAAACCUUCUGCUCUGCUGGAGUUUGUCUUGAGUGUGCCUUAAAAUUCCAUUUCAUGGAGAACUGUGCGUGGUUGAAUUUUGAUUGAUUACUCAAUUAACUGAUGUAUUGGUAGAGUGAUUAAGAAAGAAGACUUUGGGAUCAGACCAACCUGGUUUUGAAUUCAAGCUCAGCAACUUACUAGGUGAGU